rnacentral:rRNA from 1 species
UACGUAGGGUGCGAGCGUUAAUCGGAAUUACUGGGCGUAAAGCGUGCGCAGGCGGCUCCUUAAGUCAGAUGUGAAAUCCCCGGGCUUAACCUGGGAACUGCGUUUGAAACUGGGGAGCUAGAGUGUAGAAGAGGGGGGUGGAAUUCCAGAUGUAGCAGUGAAAUGCGUAGAGAUCUGGAGGAACACCGAUGGCGAAGGCAGCCCCCUGGGCUAACACUGACGCUCAUGCACGAAAGCGUGGGGAGCAAACAGG